UCCUGAGUAGCUCAAUUGGCAGAGCAUCCGGCUGUUAACCGGAGGGUUGCAGGUUCAAGUCCUGCCUCAGGAG
rnacentral:tRNA from 2 species